CAUGACCUACGGGACGCAGCAGUGGGGAAUAUUGCUCAAUGGGGGAAACCCUGAUGCAGCGACGCCGCGUGAGCGAUGAAGUAUUUCGGUAUGUAAAGCUCUAUCAGCAGGGAAGAAAAUGACGGUACCUGACUAAGAAGCCCCGGCUAACUACGUGCCAGCAGCCGCGGUAAUACGUAGGGGGCAAGCGUUAUCCGGAUUUACUGGGUGUAAAGGGAGCGUAGACGGUCCUGCAAGCCAGAUGUGAAAGCCCGGGGCUCAACCCCGGGCCUGCAUUUGGAACUGUAAGGCUAG
rnacentral:rRNA from 1 species